UACAGAGGUCUCAAGCGUUGUUCGGAAUUACUGGGCGUAAAGGGUGCGCAGGCCGCGCGGGCAGUCAAAUGUGUAAUUCAGGGGCUCAACCCCUGCACUGCGCUUGAUACUUCCGCGCUCGAACCUUGGAGAGGAGUCUGGAAUUCUCGGUGUAGCAGUGAAAUGCGUGGAUAUCGAGAAGAACACUUAGGGCGAAAGCAAGACUCUGGACAAGUGUUGGCGCUCAUGCACGAAGGCUAGGGUAGCGAACGGG
rnacentral:rRNA from 1 species